GGCGCCUUCGUCUAGUGGCCCAGGACACCGCCCUCUCAAGGCGGAGAUCGCGGGUUCGAAUCCCGCAGGCGCCACCA
rnacentral:tRNA from 2 species